rnacentral:rRNA from 1 species
UACGGGGGGGGCAAGCGUUGUUCGGAAUUACUGGGCGUAAAGGGCGCGUAGGCGGUCUGCUAAGUUGGAUGUGAAAACUCUGGGCUUAACCCAGAGCCUGCAUUCAAAACUGACAGGCUAGAGUUCUGGAGGGGGAAGCGGAAUUCCUGGUGUAGCGGUGAAAUGCGUAGAUAUCAGGAGGAACACCGGUGGCGAAGGCGGCUUCCUGGACCGGCAUUGACGCUGAGGAGCGAAAGCCAGGGGAGCAAACGGG